CCCCCUCAAGAUGAGAUUUCCCAUAGCGUAAGCUAGUAAGAUCCCUGAAAGAUGAUCAGGUUGAUAGGUUCGAGGUGGAAGCAUGGUGACAUGUGGAGCUGACGAAUACUAAUAGAUCGAGGACUUAACCA
rnacentral:rRNA from 1 species